rnacentral:rRNA from 1 species
GAGUUUGAUCAUGGUUCAGGACGAACGCUGGCGGCGUGCCUAAUACAUGCAAGUCGAACGCGUCUCCGUUAAUGAUUUUAGGUGCUUGCACUUGAAAGAUUUAACAUUGAGACGAGUGGCGAACUGGUGAGUAACACGUGGGUAACCUGCCCUUGAAGUAGGGGAUAACACUUGGAAACAGGUGCUAAUACCGUAUAACAACCAAAACCACCUGGUUUUGGUUUAAAAGACGGCUUCGGCUGUCACUUUAGGAUGGACCCGCGGCGUAUUAGCUUGUUGGUAAGGUAACGGCUUACCAAGGCGAUGAUACGUAGCCGACCUGAGAGGGUAAUCGGCCACAUUGGGACUGAGACACGGCCCAAACUCCUACGGGAGGCAGCAGUAGGGAAUCUUCCACAAUGGACGAAAGUCUGAUGGAGCAACGCCGCGUGAGUGAUGAAGGGUUUCGGCUCGUAAAACUCUGUUGUUGGAGAAGAACAGGUGUCAGAGUAACUGUUGACAUCUUGACGGUAUCCAACCAGAAAGCCACGGCUAACUACGUGCCAGCAGCCGCGGUAAUACGUAGGUGGCAAGCGUUGUCCGGAUUUAUUGGGCGUAAAGCGAGCGCAGGCGGUUUUUUAGGUCUGAUGUGAAAGCCUUCGGCUUA